ACCAAAUUUGAAAAUUCUUCAUUUACAACAAAAUCACUUUAAUGCUAGUACAUUCUCAAGUCUUAAACAGCUUCCAUCACUCAAGUUCUUAGAUCUCUCUCUUAAUGAAGCUAUAAAGGGAUCAAUACAAGUAAAUGAGCUACUUGGUUUGACGAAUUUGCAAGAAUUGGAUUUAAGUUCUACGGGAGUUGACAACUUUGUGACCACUAAAGGCAUUGCAAAUGUAAGCCAUCUUCAAGUGUUGCGUCUAGAUAAUCUAGAUGCAUCAAUCUCCAACUUCAGCAAUUUGCUACCAUCUUUAACAGUUUUCUCGUCACUCAAGACCCUCUAUUUUCAGUAUAACAGCUUUCUAGACA